UACGUAGGGGGCGAGCGUUAUCCGGAAUUACUGGGCGUAAAGCGCACGCAGGCGGUUCGCCAAGUUUGGAGUGACAGUUGUCGGCUCAACCGACAAAGGACUUCAAAAACUGGUGAACUUGAGGACGAGAGAGGAACAUGGAACUCCAGGUGUAGUAGUGAAAUGCGUAGAUAUCUGGAAGAACACCAAUGGCGAAGGCAAUGUUCUGGCUCGUUCUGACGCUCAGGUGCGAAAGCCAGGGGAGCGAACGGG
rnacentral:rRNA from 1 species